GCGGGGAUAGCUCAGUUGGGAGAGCGUCAGACUGAAGUCUACUUCGGUUCCAGUCUAUCUGAAGGUCCUCGGUUCAAUCCCGAGUCACCGCA